AAAACAUUUUUUUUUAUUUUCGUGUACAUCAUCUCAAGAUAACAGAAAUUGUUUAAAUUACACUAUUAACUCAUCAUGCCCAAACUUGUGGGGCUUCUUUAUGUAGAAAAUCUUGAUAUCUUGAUAUCUGUCUGUGAGUUAGUUGAUGAAGAGACAAAAUAUAACAUGAAAGAUAAAUAUUUGAAUCAGGCUUUCUGCACUAGGCACGACUAGGUUUGCAUGGUGGGAUACAGGAC
rnacentral:lncRNA from 1 species